GACGGGACCCGCACAAGCGGUGGAUGAUGUGGUUUAAUUCGAUGCAACGCGAAAACCUUACCCACCUUUGACAUGGCAGGAAUCCUGAAGAGAUUUGGGAGUGCUCGAAAGAGAACCUGCACACAGGUGCUGCAUGGCUGUCGUCAGCUCGUGUCGUGAGAUGUUGGGUUAAGUCCCGCAACGAGCGCAACCCUUGCCAUUAGUUGCUACGAAAGGGCACUCUAAUGGGACUGCCGGUGACAAACCGGAGGAAGGUGGGGAUGACGUCAAGUCCUCAUGGCCCUUAUAGGUGGGGCUACACACGUCAUACAAUGGCCGGUACAGAGGGUAGCCAACCCGCGAGGGGGAGCCAAUCCCACAAAGCCGGUCGUAGUCCGGAUCGCAGUCUGCAACUCGACUGCGUGAAGUCGGAAUCGCUAGUAAUCGCGGAUCAGCAUGUCGCGGUGAAUACGUUCCCGGGUCUU
rnacentral:rRNA from 1 species